rnacentral:rRNA from 1 species
CAUAAAAACCGUGGCUCAGUUCAGAUCGUAGGCUGCAACUCGCCUACGUGAAGGAGGAAUCGCUAGUAAUCGCAGGUCAGCAUACUGCGGUGAAUACGUUCCCGGGCCUUGUACACACCGCCCGUCACACCAUGGAAGUUGGCCACGCCCGAAGCCGUUACUCCAACCCUUGUGGAGGAGGACGUCGAAGGUGGGGCUGAUGACUGGGGUGAAGUCGUAACAAGGUAGCCGUACCGGAAGGUGCGGCUGGAUCACCUCCUAA